AUUGAACGCUGGCGGCAUGCCUUACACAUGCAAGUCGAACGGUAACAGGUCUUCGGAUGCUGACGAGUGGCGCACGGGUGAGUAAUACAUCGGAACGUGCCCAGACGUGGGGGAUAACGAGGCGAAAGCUUUGCUAAUACCGCAUACGAUCUAAGGAUGAAAGCAGGGGACCGCAAGGCCUUGUGCGUUUGGAGCGGCCGAUGGCAGAUUAGGUAGUUGGUGGGAUAAAAGCUUACCAAGCCGACGAUCUGUAGCUGGUCUGAGAGGACGACCAGCCACACUGGGACUGAGACACGGCCCAGACCCCUACGGGAGGCAGCAGUGGGGAAUUUUGGACAAUGGGCGAAAGCCUGAUCCAGCAAUGCCGCGUGCAGGAUGAAGGCCUUCGGGUUGUAAACUGCUUUUGUACGGAACGAAAAGGCUCUGGCUAAUACCUGGGGCACAUGACGGUACCGUAAGAAUAAGCACCGGCUAACUACGUG
rnacentral:rRNA from 1 species